UUGUGUUUGUGGGCAAUCGAAGGCUUUCAAGCACACAAAGCCUGCGUCCGACUCCGGUUGAAGAGUGACUCGUAUGCGUCCUCCUGACCUUUCAUGCCGCUUAAGUGAACGGCAUUGGUUUGCUAUCUGGAAGCUAUUUGGGAUCUAUUAACGUGAGCCGGAUCACAAACACCGCAGGAGGGCCAGAAUCCUGCGCUCGCCAAUCUGACAGGACACACCUCUGUCGUUGCCAGCUCCUACCUGCAAUUAGACCACUUGACCACAGUGAACAGCCGGCCCCUAUCCCCUCUUGGCAUCUUCGUUUGACAAUGAGAGGGCAGAAAGCGGGGAGGUUGGGGGGUGAAUGUAACAGACGUAUGAAGAGGUUAUAUCUGAAGGCUGUGUUUUUCCGUCCGUUGUUCGCCUGCUUAUUUAAUACACCGGGGAGCUGCUUUCAAGGACUACGAAAGGAGAUGUUCAGUUCCGGACGGAGAAAACUUCAGAGACACUGUGGUGCCAUCUGGUCACUUUCAAGAGGCAGUUGUUGAAGAUUUCAGCUCUGGGCUAUGAUGGAGAUGGUCACAUGUUAUAGGCUGUAGCACAAAUGUGCUUUUGAACACUCAAAAACAUGUCCACAGUGAAAAUCUAUCUUGUCUUAUUGUCAACUUUAUAGUAAGGUAACACUUUACAAAGGGUUUGUAAAAGCUAUAUACAUUAAGGGUUAUUUAAUUAUUUGUACAGCAAAUCCUUUAUUAUCCAAGCUGGUUUACAUUGUUUUGUUGUGUCAUUGUUUUCAUCACAAAAAAAACGACUUAUCUUUACUUGCUACAUAAUGGGCAAUAUUAGCGAGUACUAUGCUUGGCAAUAUGUUCCAAGCACAACACUGACAUGUUAUGAUCACAGUCAGGACCUUUAUGGUUCAGGUCUAAAUGUAACCAAAUGUUAUGCAAAUGAAAAGCAAGUCACAUUUUAUUUCUCAGAGCGUAACUUUCUGUGUAAACUGUCCAUGUUAAGAACCAGGACAUGGGUGGUGAGUGACGCGACGUGACCAAGGGUCUCUGCCGGCACAAUGGCGGUUAUAUAUGAUAUUCUUUCACCUUAUACAAUAUUGCUGCUCAAACCAAAACUGAUCAUGACGAGGACACUGUAGUGCGUAUGUGUUACUGUUCACGUCAAACUCUGAAACAGGUGACCUUAACGGAUUUGAAGUGUUUGCAUUCUGCUUUAGCCGAGAGUGUGAUCUCUCAGGUGCUCUUGGAAGUUUGCCCUUGAAAGAACCGAAGAAUGUAGAAUAGAAGCACACAUUUCUAUAAGGCAGCCAUUCAUUUCUCUAAGAUCCUAUCAUACAGCGGGGUUGAACUUCUGUUCAGUUGCCUUACUUCACUGCUGAUAGGACAUUGAAGGAUUUAGAAUUUCCACUAUAACAAAAUUCACUGGAAAAAUAAACCCUACGAGCAAUGGGGAUGACGUGUCUCAUCUAUUGUACAAGACCGUGGAACACAAACAGGACGUCAGCAUGUCUUUUAGAGUACAUGCAUUUCGUGGGUUGGUGCACACUUUAUCCAACACGGACAAUGCAAAAAACAUGUCAGCCCAGCUAGUUGAGAGACAAUGGACUGGCUCAUGUGAAUUGGAGGCAAAAUUAUAUAUUCUCAGUAAAUAAAUAUUUUAACGGUUCCACAUUUGGAAAUUCAAGUGCCAUUUUGUAUAUACCAUAUGCAGCUUUUUCAUGCAUUGUAUACCUACAUUGUACUCUGGAAAUGAAUAGCUUACAGAUCUUUCCUUUGCAAAGACUGAUUAUACCUUUAUACAUUCCCAAUUAAAUCAUACUACGCCAUUUACACUGGGCUACGCUCAAAAGUAGUUUAUGUUACAGUUA
ensembl:lncRNA